UACAGAGGGUGCGAGCGUUAAUCGGAAUUACUGGGCGUAAAGCGUGCGUAGACGGUUAUUUAAGUCGGAUGUGAAAGCCCCGGGCUCAACCUGGGAAUUGCAUUCGAGACUGAAUAGCUAGGGUGCGGGAGAGGGAUGUGGAAUUCCAGGUGUAGCGGUGAAAUGCGUAGAUAUCUGGAGGAACAUCGGUGGCGAAGGCGAAUCUCUGGGCGGCAUCUGACGCUGAGGCACGAAAGCCAGGGGAGCAAACGGG
rnacentral:rRNA from 1 species